CAGUAAACAGAGAUGGAAGCCACUUCCCAUGUUAUCCUUCAGUAAUGAAGUCAUCCAGACAAUAUAGUGGUGUUAGCAAUGUUAAAUUGUCCUAUGAGUUCCUAUGGAUUCCAGCAGACCUAUGCGUUUUGCAAAUGUAUGCUCUUAUGCUCUGAUGCCCCCUCCUGUUGCUGGUGGUCUGCUUGGGCCCUUUAGGGUUUGUGUGUAGAAAGUUAUCUUGGUCACAUAUAGCUAACAGUUCCUGCCAAUUCCUUCCUUCCUUCCGUCCUUCCUUCCUUCCUUCUUUUUUUCAUCAUUCAUCAUUUUUUAAUUUGAAUACCGUCUUUCUGUCUUACAAUAUUCAAGGCGGUUUACAAGCUGAAGAAACAAAAAAUGUACAUCUUAUAACAAUCUAAUGCAAUACAAAAAUGUGAUAAUAAAACUUUAAAAUAGGCAACCUACAUAAAAAAGUAACAUUCAACAAUCGUUAGAAUAGUAUUAAAUAAUAGUAACAUAUAAAAGUUAAACAGAAAUCCACUCAACAGUUACAAUAAAUAAUUUCUAAACUAUAAUCAAUAAAACAACGGCAAGCCCUCCCUCCCUUCCUUCCUUCCUCCCUCCCUUCCUUCCUUCCUUCCUUCCUUCCUUCCUUUCUUUCCAAAACACCAGAAGUCAGCUCAACCCUCAAGGCAUUUUGGGGGGCGGGGGCGGAAUGGCAGCUGGCAAGAUUCAUAAAAAAGAGGGCCUUGCUGGGCUCUGCUUGUGAGCCCCAUUGCCUUCUUUCCUCAAUAAGGGAUUGUCAGUGAAACUGAAAAACAUUCACAGAUUCCUUCUGGGUUGGACCAGAAUCCAGUUGGGGUGAAAUAAAUCUGGGGAGGGGCAGUUGUUAGAAAUUUCAAAUCCCACCCCAUCACAACUCUGAAUCUAAAAAUUCCAUAAGGCAGACACAUCACAAUUUCCUUUUCCUAUGUAAAUAUUUAUAUGAUUAGAGACUUUUAAUUUGGGGCAUAUCCUACUACUUUUUUGUUUUGUUGCCAUAAUCUCUGAACAUAUGUAGGGAACAUAUGGCAUCCAUGGGUUUCUUAUAAGAAAUUAUUAAUAUUGCCACUGAUGCAGUGACUUGCAAUAAUUACUAUGUUGUUUUAAUUGUUUUUAAUUAUUCUUUUCUUUACUUUGCUUCUAAUUAGAAAAAAUAUAUUUAUCCCAUUGCUUGUGAAUAGACUAAAAUUGCUUUGACUGUUUGUUUUCCUCUUCCUUCUCCCUGCCGUUCUCAUCUAUGCUUCCACUAUUAAUAUUUUUCCCUAAAGCUCUUGAGAACAAUAAGCAUUAAGCAUUGCACCACUAACUUUUAGAUGAUUUUACAGUUUCGGCUGUUACAAUUUAAAUGAUUGGUUGUUGUUUUUUGAAUAUUGCAAUAGCAAGAUGUAAGUUGAAAGAGAGAUGCUAUUGUGCUGUGCAAAUUGUUCUGCAUUAAAAGACUUUAUGAUGUGGGAAGUACUAAGCAAUCUGGUGGAAUAGUUUUAUUUAUUUUAUUUAUUUCUAACAUUUAAUAUCCCGCCAACUAAUACAAAAGGGAUUAGACAGCACCCACAAGGUAGUAUUAAAUUAUGCUUUCAUUUUCACGCUGUCUUUUAAUAACAAAACCAAAUUUUCUUCUUGCUUGAUAACUGGCUAAGUAAAUAAUCAACGACCUUAACACAGGGGGAUUGUACUGUGAGAAUUUCUUUUGUAUAUACUCACAGGAUCUUCCUUUUUAUAUGUGUAUCCAUGCUUGGUGAUCACAGUAAAAUUCCUGUAGCUCCAUGACAUAUCUAGUUCAAAUUAGGGUCCCACAGAUUUUUUGGCAGCUUUGGCGGAGCUUGCUACAAAUUUGUUCAUUUCUACCAGUUGAGGGGCAAUCACCUUUUCUUGUCCCCCCCACCUCUGAAUGUCUCAGGAGCACAUGGAAUAGAGUUGUUUCAGUUGGGCCUCUGCUACCUCAUCUUAAAUAACGGUGCUCCCCCACAUUAAAAUUAUUGGGUUUUGGACAAUCUGCAAAUAUUAUUAUAGUGUUAGAGGGUCCUUUCUGCUGAAACUGACUUUUUUCUUUUUUAAAAAAUCUGCAUCAAAUGCCUCAGCUUUAGUCCAGUUAGACUUUGAUUACUGAAGUUUGUUUGUUUUUUUAAUAAUAAUUUCUUCCCUCUUUUUUUUAGUUGAUGGCUGUAUUCAUAGAGCUGCUGGCCCCUGUCUAGUCGCUGAAUGUCGCAACCUGAGUGGCUGUGAAACUGGACAAGCAAAAAUUACUUGUGGUUAUGACCUGCCCGCAAAAUGUAAGUAAGCUACUUUCCCCUCACACAUUUUUAAAAAAUCAAGCUGAAACUUUAUACAUACCUCACUUCCCAACACGAUAAAUCAAGUGAGGCAUUCACUUACCAAAUUAGCAGUAAGAUUAAAUUAAGCAUGCUUCGUGAUGACCUUUGUCCUUCAGAGGAAUUGAGAUGUUUUAAGCGGCUGAGCUUCUUUUGAGUAAGGAAAACAUGCGUGUUUACGUUUUGAAUCAUAGCAGACCAUAGAUUGUUUUGCAUAUGCUUGUGUUUAUGAAAAACCUUCAACAGUUUUAACAAAAUGUACAUUAUCAAAUUGAUCUGCGUGGUGGACAGCUUCUAUAAAUGGUGCCGAUAUCUUGGCUGUAAAAUGCAUUUUGAGCCAAGGAGAUCAAAGUGAUGUAUUUUGUGUUUUCAGCUGCUGUGUAUAGGCUGAUUGGCAAUUACUGUGACAGCAUCUGUCACAGUUAAGCAUUCAGUGGAAUACUGUUCUCAGCACCAGAAUGUUUUCUCUCUCUUUGAAAGUCGAAUUGUCAAAAUUCCCAUUAUAUGUAAAUAGAGGAAAAAAAGGUUAUUUUACUGACCUUCUUGCAUAGCUAUUUAGCCACACUUGGGAAAGUAAACACUGAAAUAGCAAUUGUUUGCAGCCUGGAUGUAAAAUGACACCACAAAGAAGUGGGGCAUAUUGUGCUCAAUAGUUUGGAACAUCAGGGCAGUUUUUAGCAAUCCAACUCAGUUGUGUGAGACUGUGUUGCAGGAGCUGGAAAUUUUUGUGCUCUUUGUUAUAUGAUGUUCUGAGUUUGUGGAGCGGGGGUGGCUAGAUCCCACAUAGAUAUAUUACGACAUUGUGAGGGGCCAGAUCCCCCUAAAUUCUUAGAUUUAGUUAAUGUUAGGAAUAAAUCAGUGCUUGGAGUAUUAGUGGAAGCUACCAGAUGCUGAAUCUAGCAGCUUCAAAAAGACAAGGCCAGACAGUUUCCCAUGCUAAGAAGAAGAUGGGAUGUUAUUAGCAAGGAACAAAGAGUAUUUGGCCAUAAGGAAUGAUUGGCAGUGCAAAUGCUGCCAACCAACUGUGAGGGGAGAGAGAUUUUCUGUUCAUCAGGCAAUGGCUUUUCCACCUGCCUUGCCCCACCCUCCAGAUUGUUAC